rnacentral:lncRNA from 1 species
AACGAAUUCCCUGCGGAGAGGGAAAAGUACCGCGUUGCUUCUCGGCCUCAAGGAUCCCCAAACUUCCUGAAGUCUGAUACCCUUGGGAGGCCUCGCCCAGGGCCUGGGAAUCCCCAAGCAGUCCCAGGAGAGAGCGAAAUCCAGAGGCCCGGAGCAGGCAGGCGCUGUGGAUAGUUCGUUUGGACUUCGUGCAUCCGCCGCGGCGCAAGGAAUGAACCCGGGAUAAACUAUGCUCUAGUCCCAGAACUUAGCAGAAUCGAAGAGCAGCAGCGGGGCUUAAGGCUUGCAUCUGCUGGUCCAAUUAUGAGCGCCAGGACAAAGCUAUGAAGACGGAGAAAGUAUCAGGCAUGGGUGCCCAAUUUUGUCUUCUCUCUCUUCAAGAGAAGGUGAGAAUGGCUUUGGAGUCAUUUGGGGGACUUUUAUGUUUGGGCUCUGGGACCUCUGAGUUCCUCAGUUGGACAGCCUAGAGAGGAAAUAUCUAUCGGGGCCCUCCAGUAAGAAAGGACUCGACCUUGUCCAGGAUAUCAAAAGGCACAGGUCGCACACAGAAGACUCUUCCAUAUUUCAAAGGUACAAACGGAGGGGAUGGGAAACACCCGGGAAGAGAUAAAGGUGGCGAUCUAAAGCUGCAGCCCCACACCGAAUUUAGAGGCAGCCAGUCUGGUCCAGUUUAG